CAGUCCAUGUCAAGAAUACCAACCGCGGGAAAUAACUGACACUUCAGUGAUCCAACAUAACAAAGAAAGACUUGAAACGUCUAAUCUUAUUUCAGAUCCAAUAUCUGUCUGUGUUGCUCCUUCGUUACUCUAUCGAAAUGAAAAUAAGUGAUGGCGACGAAUUUUACCAACGUUACUCCUUUUAUUAGUAAGUCAUGAGACCAGCUCGAGGACCUCUGGGGGGUCCGUGCACCCCAUUUUUGGAAGCGCUGACAUAACAUCAGUCAAUCAGUGCGUGCCACGUAAGCGCAGCCUCCCAAACUACAACUUUGGACUGAAGUGUGGGAAGAGGAAAGGAAAAGGUUACAGCAUGGAAAGAGACAGAGGUGGCGCACAGAGAGGGACUUACGCUGAUGGAUGAGGGGAAGCCCAAACCUGCUUCUUCAGAUGGGACGCAUGACGGCUUAGGUGUCAAGAAUGUGCCCACCCAUCCAUUAACCUGUCCAACAAAACACCAUUGUCGGGAGCGAAAACAAAAUGUGAGUUAGCAUCUCUGUCAUUGCUGUACAUCUGUAUUAUCAUGCUUGCGGUUAUAAAUACUUAAAGACUUAGUAUUUACCCUAUAAUAUACGCCAUGUGGGCAAUUCAUCUAAUAAACAGAAAAGACUAAACAGAAAAGAACACUUGGAGUUUGUGUUUAUCAUUCUGUGCAUUGUGAGCACUCCAAGCACAAAGCAUGACAACCACUGACAUUUUUAUGUAUACAUGACCAGAAGGAAAUUCAAACCAGAAGACCAAACUCUGGUUUACGUUUUAUUCCUGUUUAAACAGCAAUAAAAGGAUAAUUGGGUUUGAGAGUCACUGAGUUACUAAGAAAAGGCCCUUUAUAAUGAAAAUUACUUCACAGAUAGUCGGUUUACUUGAAGUUAAUGUUCCAAACACAGGAGAGCUGGUGAGGGAUGAUUUUGUUCUGGAAACGGUUCUGAUUGAGCUCGUUUCUACAACACUUGACCUGUGCUUUAAAAAACACCUGCUCAACAUUUAAUGAUCUUGCUUUC